rnacentral:sRNA from 1 species
AAUUGCCCUGUUGAUGAAAGGUGAACCAGGAAAACCUGGGCCUCCUGGUGAUGCAGGAUUGCAGGGGUUACCAGGUGUACCUGGAAUUCCUGGUGCAAAGGGUGUUGCUGGUGAAAAGUGUGUGUUUUAUUUUAUAUUUGGCCCUAGGGAGAAAUAAAAAAGGUAGCACUGGUGCUCCAGGGAAGCCUGGUCAGAUGGGAAAUUCAGGCAAACCGGGCCAACAGGGGCCUCCAGGAGAGGUGGGACCCCGAGGACCCCAGGGGCUUCCUGGCAGUAGAGGAGAAUUAGGACCAGUGGGAUCCCCAGGCCUACCAGGUAAACCGGGUUCUCUGGGUAGCCCUGGCCUCCCUGGCUUGCCUGGGCCCCCUGGACUUCCUGGAACGAAAGGUGACAGGGGUGUCGUCGGUGAACCGGGUCCAAAGGGUGAACAGGGUGCCUCUGGUGAAGAAGGUGAAGCAGGAGAAAGGGGGGAACUUGGAGAUAUAGGAUUACCUGGCCCAAAGGGAUCUGCAGGUAAUCCUGGGGAACCUGGCUUGAGAGGGCCUGAGGGAAGUCGGGGGCUUCCUGGAGUGGAAGGACCAAGAGGACCACCUGGACCCCGGGGCGUGCAGGGAGAACAGGGUGCCACCGGCCUGCCUGGUGUCCAGGGCCCUCCGGGUAGAGCACCGACAGAUCAGCACAUUAAGCAGG